rnacentral:lncRNA from 1 species
GUCUUUAUCAAACAUGUGGAGAUUGAUUGAAAAUAUUAGCGAACGGUAUUAUAUAUAAUGAAAAGCUUAGAAAAAGGAGAAAUAAUUAAGUGUGUAUACUAGUUUCAUAGUGAUUGCGUUUGAAUUGGUCCAACAAUCGCAGUUUAUAGACGGCCAAUGUUUUUGCCAUUGGAUCAGCGGUCACGAAAUCGCCCACAGUCAAAAACAAAGACAAGUAACUUCCUUUCCCAGUGCCGCAUCCUUUUGGGAACAUUUUUAGUUUCCUGGCUCAAAUAUAAUAUAACACAGAUCAUACUAUCUCAGUAUCAUGGUUUGUAACAUGUUUUAGGACUGUUUUGUCAUUUCUAAGUAACCAAUAAUUCAUUUUCUAAAUUUACACCUACAUGUGUUGUAUUCUUUAUUUGAAACAUCAUCAAUUAUAAAGUAUGGAUCAUUGAUUCAUUCGCGCAUUUAACCAAAACAUCUUAUAGAUUGAAAUAGAGGGAGUAUAUAUGAUUUGUAUACCAUCUCCGUUGUCCAAGCUUGAACUCGUUGGAAAAAUGAUAAUCACCAACGUCGAAGGAAGAAAACUGAGUGAUCUUCCAGGUGAAUCUAGAGUCUUUUUUGGACACCUCGGUUAGUGUUAUGCGUUCCGCUGUCCCAAUGGUUCGAGGGAUUGUAUUGGUCACAGGAAAGUUUGGUCGGACGUCGGUGAUGUCGGCACAGAAAACCACUUUGUCAUUCACAAGAUACUUCUUCUUCAACUCCUCGUAUGAUAUGAAGCUGUCUUCCCCAAUAAUUCUUUGGUUUGCGUUAUAAGACUCCGUAAGCCCUGAUUAUAUAUAUACAUACAUAUAUAUCUCAACAUCAUAUAUAUCAUGAAAAUCUACAUUAUAAAUACUGAUGCACGUUUCCAUAUAUAUAUAUAUAAUGUGCAAAACUUACAUUCAGAAGACUGGCACCUAUUAAAUCCAUUCUGAGGAACUAUGGUGAGUUUGAAACUGCAUUUGACUUCCCAAUUAGGACCUAAAGACUUUUUAUCUUUGAUCUUUAGAUAAAAAGAUAAAUACUCCUUUGUGCCGUCCUCCCCAGCUGGAUAAACAAUCAACUUCCUACAUCCCAAUUUCAAGCCAACAAAGAACACUCAUAUAUAUAUAUAUAUAUAUAUAUAUAUAUAUAUAUAUUUUAGGUUAAAUUUGAAUUAGAGAACCUUGUACUGGGGCAUUAGAUCAGAAUGACUCACCAUUUGAGACCAGAUACAUUGAAAACCGAUGACUGAACCUCCUUCACUUUGUGAGUCUUUAGCUUAGACAUUCCAUCAACCAACAUUAUGUGAGCGUUUUUGCGAACCUCUAGCUGCGCCUUUAUGUUCUCUGGAUCGAAUUAAUACAUAUGCAUAUUAGCAAAUAUAUACAUAGAAAUGAAUUCAAGUUGAUUGUAUGCAAUUGCAUGCUUAUAAGUAAGACGUACCUUCAACUGUCAGACUCAUUUUGAUGAUGAAGAUGAUGGUCUGCUUCAAUACUAUUAGACUUUUUAGUUUGUGUUAAAGUGAGAAGAAAACUGGUAUGUAUGUCUGUAUAUAUAGGCAAAUUCCUUGACGAAGGGGUUUCAAUUAGGAUCUAAACGGGUGGAGGUACAUUCGAUGUUAUCUAAUACGAACCAUAUCCUCCGGUCCCGACAUUCCACAAGUGCUCUCUUUUAUUUCUGUUUGUGUUUUUAUUUUCACUUCCACAAGCACUCAAUUGAUUCCCACUUUAUCGAGAACUUGACAAUUUAUGGCGAACAAUUUUUAAAUGGCGAGAUAUAUGCGUGGGGACAAGCAAUACCACAUUCCUAUUCUUUAAUUGUAUAAGUUCAUAUAAAUAAUUUUUUUAAUUGUUGGUAUUCUAUAUAAUGUCAUGUUUUAGAGGUAAACUAGUGCAACGCCCAAAAUUGAAAUUAGGUGAUUAUGUUGAAACCAGGUGGAAUAUGAACAUUCUGAAUGCCCUCCUUAGGGAAUAAAAAGUCAGCUAACACGUCUAUAUACAAAUGGUAUAAAGUCUAAAUAUCUCAAUGUAAAACACACCAAAAAAAAAACAAAAAAAAAACAACUUGAUGACUGGAUACAUACCUUACGAUUUUCAAACACAUAGUAAAUAUGCCGUCAAAAGAGAGUGGAUCACAUUUAGUGAAUCGAAAACCGUGUGGUUCAUAUAAUAACAAUACCAUGAUAUAGAAGAAAAAAACAAUACCAUGAUAUAGAAAAAAUAAAAUGUUUGUACUACACUCUAAAAAACAGCAAUUUUGUGAUGGCCAUGGUUGUUAACUUGUUACUUGUUAGCUCCCUAAUGUAUCAACAAAUUAACAAGCUUUCGUUGGUCAACUUGACGACAUUAGUUAUUAAGCGAAAAUAAGAUAGUGUCUAGGUCGGUCAUUAAAGACAAAUAAACAAAUAAUUUUUGGAAAAAUGAACCUGACAACCCUCGUAUAAAUUACGUGAGCGACUUUCAGUGAAAACAUAAUAUGGUGAAAGUUUGAUAUAUUCAUCGAUCUACCUACUCUUUUUGAGUAGAGUCAAGCCUCAGCUAAUUAUCAUAUAGUUCAUAAUAUAUAUAUAUAUAUAUAUAUUGUGUGAAGAAUAAUAAGAAUAAAAUCUGAGAUGACCAUAUCUAUCUGUGUGUGUGUGUUUUUUAUAUGUGUGUAUUUGUAAGUGUUGUUUGUAUGCACAUAUUUUUUUUUGUUGAAAAUAUGUUAAAUUAUAUUCCAAAAUAACUGUUUUCUUUACAUGAACUUGUUUGAGAAGGUAAUAAAAGAAAUAUGAUCAAAUCCUUGUAAGCAGUAUAGCAAGUGAUUUGUGCGGCUCCAUGCGUGCAAUAUCAUCCCCUGGAGCCAAACCAGACCUCCAGCCCAUCUUCAUAACGGUGAUUCCCUGCAAGUCGCAGUGAACUAAGUCGAUUACUCACCGUUUUAAUAAUGAAUAAAACUACGAUGGAAUGUUUGCUUAUAAACUACGGAAGCCUCACACACUCUCUUUUGUUUUCAUAAACCGAUUCGUAAGUUUUUUGUAAGAGUAAAUUAGUUUAUUUUAAAUCACUAAAGUAUGAGUUCAAGAUUAAUUAAUAUUGAUCAACAAAUGAAGCACAAAAAUAUUUAAAAACGUUUCUUAAAAUUUUCUAGGAGUUCAAGUAGAUAGUCUCUAGCUUAAAAAAAAAAUCUUGAAUAUAAUCCUAGCAUACCAAAACAAAAUUAAAAAACAAAGAAAUCUUCAUAAAUUCAACCGAGAAUUAAUAUUUCAGAUUUUUGUUUUAAGUUCCUCUGAAAGGAAGAUUAGAAAGAAAGAGUUCAAUUUUGUUUGUGUUAUAAAAUAUUAGGUGGAUAUUUUAUUCUUUAAUUAAUUAAUAUCGAUUUUUACAGUAAACUGGGUUUCAAAAUACAUACGGAAUCCAAUUUACAAGUAUUUAUGUGAGAAUAUAUAUCAAUGUUAUUGCAAUAAGAAGAGAGGGUAAACGUGCACAAGCAGCUUUCUCUUAUAAUCCCAUAAAACACUUGUAGAACUUUGUUAAAAGAAUUCUUUAUUAAUACUUAGAAAAUUUGUCUCAAAAACUAAACACAAUAACCCUUUAAUUUUCUCUUGAUCUUAAUGCGACUUCAUUAAAACCUUUAUAUAUUGCAAAGACAUUUUCUCUUAAGAUUUUUCUUUUUCUAACCGGUUUAGUAAUUACCUAAAAUCUAUCUUAUUCUAACUGAUUUUGUUAGACAUUUUGGGCUUCAGGUAAUGGACCAAAGCUUAUCCAACAUCUCUUCCAUAAGAAGCAACUUUUUUUAUUUUUAGAAAGCAGUUACAAAGAGUGAAAAAGUUUGAGAUACAUGAAUGAACCAGAUACAAUUGAAUCUUCCGCUUCAAUUGACUUUAAUGCUUAGGAUUGAAGAACUUUAGCCACGACCACCUCGGUUUCCAUGUCCUUGGUUUCCACGUCCACCACACCUGUGGAUUGCCAACUCAUCUCCUUAGCCUUUGUUGAUGGUUUAACCGGUCUUUCUCGAAGAAUUCUUUUCCCUGAAAGUGUCAUAAGAUCCAACGAAUCCGACUCUUUAUCUGAUGAUCCAUCACGUUUUAUUGUAUUUUUACAUAAAUUGCAUGUUCGUACCAUGCAUUAUAUCUAAACACACAUGCCGAUAUUCAAAUAUAUAUAAUAAUAGGUAGAUAUAUAAGUUCAUCAGGAGGUAUUUAUUCUUGUGGUCCUCGAUCGUUGAAUCAAACAAUGCACAUCAGAGAUUCUCAGUGGUGGAGAGAAGUAUGAACUCAACACCGAGAUAUAUCUCAUCGUUCACCAGAAAUCCCCUUGAAGCAUUGCGGAGUUCAUUCAGCCGCAUAAAUUGGUUCGAGCCCCAACCGCUACGAAUCAUAUUCGGAUCAUAGUGAAACCAAACAUUGGAGUCUUUAUCAAACAUGUAGAGAUUAAAUAUAUUAGCGAACGUUUUAUAUAUAUAAUAAUGAAAAGCUUAGGAAAAAAAUGAGAAAUAAUUAAGUGUAUAUACUAGUUUCAAAGUGAUUGCGUUUGAGUUGGUCCAACACUCGUAGUUUAUAGACGGCCAAUGUUUUUGCCAUUGGACUAUUGUAAUCGCUCACAGUCAAAAACAAAGACAAGUAAUCUCCUUUCCCAGUGGCGCAUCCUUUUGGGUACAUUUUUAGUUUCCUGGCUCAAAUGGUAAACGUAUGUAUAAGAUAUACAAUUAUAACACAGAUUAACGACACAUACUAUCGCAGUAUCAGUUUGUAAGAUGUUUUAGGAUUGUUUUGUCAUUUCUAAGUAAACGAUAAUUCAUUUUCUAAAAGGUAUGGAUCAUUGAGUCACUUUAUAAUGAAAAAGAAAAAGAAAAAAGAAGCUACUUCGUGCGCGCAUUCAAGGACAAAACAUCGAACUUAUAGAGGGAGUAUAUAUGAUUUGCAUACCAUCUCCGUUGUCCAAGCUUGAACUCGUUGGAAAAAUGAUAAUCACCAACGUCGAAGGAGGAAAACUGAGUGAUCUUCCAGGUGAAUCUAGAGUCUUUUUUGGACACAUCGGUUAGUGUUAUGCGUUCCGCUGUCCCAAUGGUUCGAGGGAUUGUAUUGGUCACAGGAAAGUUUGGUUGGACGUCGGUGACGUCGGCACAGAAAACCACUUUGUCGUUCACAAGAUAUUUCUUCUUCAACUCCUCGUAUGAUAUGAAGCUGUCUUCCCCAA